CCCAGUGUGCGGGUGAUGUUUGGACACAUUCGUCUCAAGAGAUGCGCCUUUCAGAGCCCAGUCCCUGCCCCUUAGGGCUUAUUUGUGAGCCAGACCCGACCCUUAAAACCAGCUGGUCACCUGCCACCCGGCAGACGGCAAACAAGCAAACCUUCCCUACAAAGCUUCCCAGACUCCUUUUAUGGCAAAUGCGUUGAAAACCAGCUCACUGUCUGGCCGCCACCCCAGCUGCCCCAAGCCUCUUCGCUCUGUCCCUCCUCCGUCUCCACCACACCACCAAGGAACUCAAAGGAAACGCAAGGUCAGUUCCGAGGAGACGCCUUUGUUGCCACAGUAGACACCUAGGAACGGAAUGGCUAGAUCCUAUACGAGUUUUGUAUUGUAUUAAACCUGCCAAUUGUUUUCCAAAGUGGUGACAUCAUCCUACAUUUCCCGGAGCCACGCUGAUCUGAGAUUGUGCGUGAGUUCGUGUUUUGAUUUUAUUUUAUAGGAUUGGGAACAUAAGAUAGAUGUGACGGCUGAUUCCCGAAGAGAAGAAGUAACUUCAAGUCAAGGACUUUGCAGCCUCACUUUUAUUCAGAACUCUAGUCUUAAUUCUGUUUGCUUUUGAGCUUUAUGACAGGAUUUUGAUUCCAAUCUCUGCCCACUGUUUCCCCCUCAAUAAAGCAGAAGACCGACUGUGACCUUCAAGGCUUCCUCUAGGUGCAUUCCAGCCCAUCCUCAGGCCUUUCACUGCACUCUGAACAAGUAGUGUCCACACCAAGAGGGCCCAUGCUGGUCUCUGUGGCCCACCUUUGCAGGGUCCCUCUGCCAGGGAUGCCAUGGCAUCUGCCUCUUCUGUCUACUUCUUCCAGAAAGACCUCUACUGCCUACAUUUGACUCUGACCUCAAUGGCCACCUCCUCCAGGAAGCCUUCUCUGAUUACCCCAGCUCCCUGUGCAGGUUCUUCGGCCACCAGCGCAGUUCUCACCAUCCUGGGUCUGAGAUGAAAACACCCUGGGUAUGAUUCGCAGUACAAGGGUGGCGACCAGAGAGGAUUUUAGUGUAUUUAACAACAUGGCAACAGAUACAUAAAAUAAAGCCCACAUGGUGCCCAAUGAGAUGCAAACCUGAGGGAAAAAUGAGCAUCUCAUUAGUGAUCUGUGGGACAAUUUCAAGUGGUCUUCAAGGGCUACUAGGAGAGAGGGGACACAUAGUAUAAUACUAAAGAAACAAUGGCUGAAGUUUCACUAAGUUUGAUUUAAAAAAAAACAACCCUAUAUAUCCCAGAUCCAAGAAGGCCAACUAAGACUCAGGCACAAGAAACACGAAGGAAAGUACAAUGAGCUGUACUUGUGGAAAAGCUGUUGUAAACAUCCAUGUGCAGGUGUGAGUGUACAUUUUCAAUUCCUUUAGGGAAGCAUCCGAAUCACGGGAGUUAUCGCUAGACUGUGUGUUAAGUGUGUGUUCAGGUCUGUAGAAACCGCCGAACUAGCCUCAAAAUGCUCACGCCGUUCUGCAUUCCCACAGGUAAUAAACAGGAUUCCUGUUGCUCCCCAUCCUUGCCAGAGUGUGGCAUUAGCCGUGUUUAUUUUGGGCCAUACCCACAGGUGUGUAGUUGCAUCUCCUUGUUGUUUUUACAUUUGUAAUUCCCUAGCGUAUGGUACUGCAAAUCACUUUAUACCUUUAUUGGCCAUCUGUCUUCCCUGGUGAGGCAUUUUCUCUAACCCAUUUCUAAAUUGUUUUUAUUGUUGAUUUGUAAGAGUUCUUUGUGUAGUUGGAAGAAUAAUCCUGUAUCAGGGAUGAAUUUUGCAAAUCUUUUCUCCCAGCAAAACGACCUUUGGAAAAAGCAGUUCUAAUCACAUCGCUCUCACUCAGAACCCUUCAGUGGCAUCUUGGCCUCUUCGGUAUAAAAUCCAAAUUCCUGAGCUUGACCCAAUGAAAAUGAAACCCAACUCUGCAGUCCCAGCCUCAGCUUUUCUCACUUUCCCCGGAAACACACGCGCUUGGUUGUAGUCACACUGGGCCAGCUUCCGCCGCCAAACUCCUGCAUGAGACAUGGGCUGGCUGCAUUUUCACUAGGAGCUGCCUUAGCUGUGAGGACAGUAAGGGAGGGGGUGCUAGGCUAAUGAUGACAGUUCCCUUUUGCCUGUCUUGCAGCUCAGCUCAAAUGCUACCUUCACCACAUAAGCCACUUAGAUUGCCGCUGCUGUCCCUGACCUCCCAUAGCCCUCUGUUCCCUCUUAAGAGAGCUGCUUCUACUCACUUCUUGCCCGUCACUGCGAUCCUCGGUGUCUUUGUGCUCAGUUUCCCUGGGAGCCUCUGGAGUUGGGGGCAUGUUUUCCUUCACCUGUCUUUCCCAGAGCAGGGCAGGGCCGGGAGUCAGAACCGAGUGGAAGGUGCUUCUGGUGCCAGCGCCCCACCAAACCGAGCUAUGGCGCUGCACUGUGGAAGGGUUUGUCUUCUCGUAGAUCCAACACCUGUGUGUCCCCAGCCCCACCUUCAGGGCCAAGGAUGACGAGGGCUGUGCUGUUGCCUGCACCUUGGUUUGGAAGGAAGUGAACCGGAAGUCUCGGGAAAGGGGUUACCAAGUCCCCAGGACCAUGGGACUGUAGGGCACCUGGGUCCCCACAUCAGUCGAGGCCUAUGGCUGGGAUGAACUGGGGUCCCCGCCAAGCCCCCCUCUUCCUCUGCUUGACAGAGCCCCAUGACUUCCUGGCAAUUGUGGACCUGCAUGUGUGGCCGGGGAAGAGGGGGGGAGCGCCCCAGAGUCAGGCCGGGCCUGGAGCUGCGGCCCUGGACUCUAGCUCUUUGGCCUGCAAAUUUCAGAUGCAGCCCUUGGCCCCUUGUGUAAGACAGAGCGUGUGAUAGCAGGGUACGGUGGCCUUGAUGCUGUUGUGAGGCCAAUUCAGCAGCAGCAGCUGGGGAGCCUGAUGUAAAUGCAGGGGAGACAGAUGAGAUAGGAAAUCCCGACAGGUGGAAGCGAUUGUCUAUUUGUGCUGUUGCUCUGUGUGUGUGGUGUCUCCGAGGUGGGGAGAGGGCUGAAUUGUUUUAGCCCUUGACAAGGGUCACAGAGUCCUUUCAAGCCUGCUAGCAUUGGGCGUGGUGAAGGAGGGA